rnacentral:tRNA from 1 species
GACAUGUGCCUGAAGAUAAGGCUU